GUCUAAGGCCAUACCACCGUGAAUGCACCUAAUCUCACCUGAUCCUGUAAGCUAAGCAGGGUCUGGCCUGGUUAGAACUUGGAUGGCAGAAUGGGACUAACAUAGAAUGAAGAAAAAUAGAGGCAAUGAACC
rnacentral:rRNA from 1 species